rnacentral:rRNA from 4 species
GUGGACGCCAGUCUGCAUGGAGCCGACCUUGAAAUACCACCCUUUAAUGUUUGAUGUUCUAACGUGGACCCGUAAUCCGGGUUGCGGACAGUGUCUGGUGGGUAGUUUGACUGGGGCGGUCUCCUCCUAAAGAGUAACGGAGGAGCACGAAGGUUGGCUAAUCCUGGUCGGACAUCAGGAGGUUAGUGCAAUGGCAUAAGCCAGCUUGACUGCGAGCGUGACGGCGCGAGCAGGUGCGAAAGCAGGUCAUAGUGAUCCGGUGGUUCUGAAUGGAAGGGCCAUCGCUCAACGGAUAAAAGGUACUCCGGGGAUAACAGGCUGAUACCGCCCAAGAGUUCAUAUCGACGGCGGUGUUUGGCACCUCGAUGUCGGCUCAUCACAUCCUGGGGCUGAAGUAGGUCCCAAGGGUAUGGCUGUUCGCCAUUUAAAGUGGUACGCGAGCUGGGUUUAGAACGUCGUGAGACAGUUCGGUCCCUAUCUGCCGUGGGCGCUGGAGAACUGAGGGGGGCUGCUCCUAGUACGAGAGGACCGGAGUGGACGCAUCACUGGUGUUCGGGUUGUCAUGCCAAUGGCACUGCCCGGUAGCUAAAUGCGGAAGAGAUAAGUGCUGAAAGCAUCUAAGCACGAAACUUGCCCCGAG